rnacentral:lncRNA from 1 species
GGUCAAUAUUCCUGAGGGAAGGGAGGAGUCGAGCAGUCAAAGCAACAAGUGAAGUUUGGUUGCCCGGUGUGGAGGCAACGGGCCAGGGUCAGGUGCCAGGGCUGCACACCGAUGGGAAAGGUGCAACAUCACAGCAUCGCAGCAAGUCUUCCAGGCCUGUCUGCAGCUCUUCCUGUAAGCAGAGGCCUUUUCCUGUGUUUGAACUCACCACCAAUGGCUGUCCUACCAAAGGCUGCCUUCUAUUCACUGACAGCUGCUUUGAACAUCAGUCGUAUCAGGUCAUCUGCCAAGCUGUGCGCCUCUGGUCAAAUCGCUCGGAGGUCUCUGGGUUGUCAGCUUCAAAGCGCCUCACAAGUGGGUGACUUGCCUCCUUCGUGGGUUUCAAAGCAUCAACUGAUAUUCAUCAAACACUUGCAACAUCAAGUGGAGAUUUUGCUGCUACAUGUGACAAAUUAG